rnacentral:rRNA from 1 species
GAUGAACGCUAGCGGCAGGCCUAAUACAUGCAAGUCGAACGGUGUAGCAAUACACAGUGGCGCACGGGUGCGUAACACGUAUGCAACCUACCUUACAUUGGGGGAUAGCCUUUCGAAAGGGAGAUUAAUACCGCAUAAGACAGUAACAAGGCAUCUAGUAGCUAUUAAAGAUUUAUCGAUGUAAGCUGGGCAUGCGUCCAAUUAGUUAGUUGGCAAGGUAAUGGCUCACCAAGACGAUGAUUGGUAGGGGAACUGAGAGGUCAAUCCCCCACACUGGCACUGAGAUACGGGCCAGACUCCUACGGGAGGCAGCAGUAGGGAAUAUUGGGGAAUGGGCGCAAGCCUGACCCAGCCAUGCCGCGUGCAGGAAGAAGGCGUUAUGCGUUGUAAACUGCUUUUAUACAGGAAGAAACGACCCUUGCGGGGGGCAUUGACGGUACUGUAUGAAUAAGCACCGGCUAACUCCGUGCCAGCCGCCGCCGUAAUAC